GACGAAGGGGGCUAGCGUUGUUCGGAAUUACUGGGCGUAAAGCGCGUGUAGGCGGUUGUCCAAGUUGGAUGUGAAAGCCUUGAGCUUAACUCAAGAAAUGCAUUCAGGACUGGAUGACUAGAGGACCGGAGAGGAUAGUGGAAUUCCCAGUGUAGUGGUGAAAUACGUAGAGAUUGGGAAGAACACCAGUGGCGAAGGCGACCACCUGGACUGAUACUGACACUGAGGUGCGAAAGCGUGGGGAGCAAACAGG
rnacentral:rRNA from 1 species